rnacentral:tRNA from 1 species
GCGCUGGUGGUGGAAUCGGUAGACACGCUAUCUUGAGGGGGUAGUGCCGAGAGGCGUGCGAGUUCAAAUCUCGCCCAGCGCACCA